UGCAGAAUCCCGUGAACCAUCGAGUCUUUGAACGCAAGUUGCGCCCCAAGCCUUCUGGCCGAGGGCACGUCUGCCUGGGUGUCACAAAUCGUCGUCCCCCCACAUCCUUCGCGGAUAAGGGACGGAAGCUGGCCUCCCGUGUGUUACCGCACGCGGUUGACCAAAAUCCGAGCCAAGGACGCCUGGAGCGUUCCGACAUGCGGUGGUGAACUUGAUCCACUUUCCCUAUCGUCGGUCGCUCUUGUCCGGAAGCUCUAGAUGACCCAAAGUCUUCAAAGCGACCCCAGGUCAGGCGGGAUCACCCGCUGAGUUUAAGCAUAUCAAUAAGCGGAGGAAAAGAAACUAACAAGGAUUCCCUUAGUAACGGCGAGCGAACCGGGAAAAGCCCAGCUUGAAAAUCGGACGUCUUCGGCGUUCGA
rnacentral:rRNA from 1 species